rnacentral:rRNA from 1 species
UACGGGGGGAGCAAGCGUUGUUCGGAUUUACUGGGCGUAAAGGGCGCGUAGGCGGCCACCGCAAGUCGGUUGUGAAAUCUCCGGGCUUAACCCGGAAAGGUCAACCGAUACUGCGGGGCUAGAGUGCAGAAGGGGCAACUGGAAUUCUCGGUGUAGCGGUGAAAUGCGUAGAUAUCGAGAGGAACACCUGCGGCGAAGGCGGGUUGCUGGGCUGACACUGACGCUGAUGCGCGAAAGCUAGGGGAGCGAAGCGGG